rnacentral:rRNA from 1 species
AAUCUGCCUGAUGGACAGGGAUAACACCCCUGAAAGGGGUGCUAAUACCGGAUAAGCCCACAGCAUCUACGGAUGCAGCGGGAAAAGGGGGCCUCUUCAUGAAAGCUUCCGUCAUCAGAUGAGUCCGCGGUCCAUUAGCUAGUUGGUAAGGUAAAGGCCUACCAAGGCGAAGAUGGAUAGCUGGUUUGAGAGAAUGAUCAGCCACACUGGAACUGAGACACUUUCCAGACUCCUACGGGAGAGCAGCAGUGGGGAAUCUUGCGCAAUGGGGGCAACCCUGACGCAGCAAAGCCGCGUGAAGUGAUGAAAGUUACCGGAUCGUAAAGCUCUGUCAGGAAGGGAAAGACACACCGAGUACGGUUAAUACCACGAUCGGAUUGACGAGAACUCCAAAGUAAGCACCGGCUAACUCCGUGCCAGAACCCGCGGUAAUACGGAGGGUGACGAGCGUUGUUCGCAAUUAUUGGGCGUAAAGCGCGUGCAGUCGUUUAGUUAAGUCUGAUGUGAAAGCCCCGGGCUCAACCUGGGAAGUGCAUUGGAAACUGGCUGACUUGAGUACGGGAGAGGGAAGUGGAAUUUCGAGUGUAGGGGUGAAAUCCGUAGAUAUUCGAAGGAACACCAGUGGCGAAGGCGGCUUCCUGGACCGAUACUGACGCUGAGACGCGAAAGCGUGGGGAGCGAACAGGAUUAGAUAUCCUGGUAGUCCACGCCGUAAACGCUGGGUACUAGGUGUUGCGGGUAUUGACCCCUGCAGUGCCGAAGCUAACGCAUUAAGUACCCCGCCUGGGGAGUACGGUCGCAAGACUAAAACUCAAAGGAAUUGACGGGGGCCCGCACAAGCGGUGGAGCAUGUGCUCUAAUUCGACGCAACGCGAAGAACCUUACCUGGGCUGACAUCCCGAUCGUAUU